rnacentral:rRNA from 1 species
AUUUAACGCUGGCGGCAGGCCUAACACAUGCAAGUCGAACGAGUGGCGGCCGGGUGAGUACUGUCUGGGACACUUCCUGAUGGAGGGGGAUAACUACUGGAAACGGUAUCUAAUACCGCCUACCAUCGGAUGUGCCCCGAUGGGAUUAGCUAGUAGGUGGGGUAAAGGGUCACCUAGGCGACGAUCCCUAGCUGGUCUGAGAGGAUGACCAGCAACAAUGGAACUGAGACACGGGACAGACUCCUACGGGAGGCAUAAGUGGGGAAGAGUGCAAAAUGGGCGCAAGCCUGAUGCAGCCAGGCCGAGUGUAGGAAGAAGGACUGCGGGUUGUAAAGGACUUUCAGAGGGGAGGCGUUACCCGCAGAAGAAGCACCGGCUAACUCCGUGCCAGCAGCCGCGGUAAUAC